UUUAGAGAUCCUUCUCCAGCCUGCCUAGGUCCAAGGAAAGGCAGCUGAGCCUCAUUAGUGAGGCAGCCAAGCAGGAUAGGUAGCCUCAGGUUACACUAACGAGCCAAUUAAAAGGACUUCUAAAGGAAAGCUGGCUGGGUAACAGGGAGGAGGAAGUCUGGCAGCUCUGGCUGGGGAGGUAGAGCUCUACAGCUGAAGGGUGUUUUAGGGCACUUUGGAGUCCCAUUUUUGACCCAACAGGCACCAGGGGUCCCAGGAUCCCACCAAGACCCUUGAGGCCUUCUGGAUGGGGAGGCUCCAUCAUCCAGCAGUUCCCAGGCAUCAGAGACCAAAUCCAAAUACACACCCAGCAUUUUACAGAAAACAAAUUCCAACCCAAAUCUGCCCAAGUUCUCUGCUAAGGAGAGGAAUUAAAAUCAUGACUCCAAACAACCUUUCAACUUAAUCCAGUCAUAAAUCUGUCUCAACAAUUUGGGGGGUAAAGAAGGUUGUUGGGCUUUUUGGUCUGGUCUUAAAACUAACUUAAUUAUUAUGCAAACAGACUUCUUUCUUUAUUAGCCCCUUUGCAUCUCAUACCUGAAACUCCUUUUGAUGUCUUUGAGGACCCAUUACAAACCAGAUAACCCAUAUUAAUUCACUGUGAUUUAACAGAUUUUGGUUGGUGAAAUUCCCAUAAGUUUCCUUCCAACCUGUGCAAUGGAUCUUUGCCCAAGAUUUAGGGCAAGUUUUAUGUAUCCAGCCCAGUGUCCUGUUCCAUGCACUGGCUAAAAACCAGUGCUCCUGAGUAAUUCCUUCUGCACAAGGACUGCUGGAGUCUGGAAAGCAAAAACAGCCCAUAAAACCUCAUGAUCAUUUUUCAGCCAUAUGAGAAGAACACUGAGAGCUCUGUUCUGCAUUGAAAUACACAGCACAGUGCUAGCAUUAGACAAACAAUGGCAAUAGCUUCUUACACCAAGAGGCCUCAGCUGCAAGGAAUCCCAGCUUAAUGUGAUGGAAAAAAGCUGCCUACAAGAGGCACAAACACAAAUAGGUCCUGGCACACCUGACAGAGCAUCAUUACACCCACAUGGCUGGGAUCUCCUGAGCCUGAGAAUGGCAAACAGCUGACCCAAGUUUGUGUUCACCUCAUCUGAAUGAUCACACAGCAGAGGAAAAGCACAUCUACAUGGCUGGGUAUGGCUGAGAAAUCAAGUAUUUCAAUUUUCAAGUGGAAGACAAGAAAACCAUAAGUUCUCACUUUUUUUUUUCAAUAAAGAAUAGACAUAGUCUUUUAUUAUUUAAACAGAUGGAUACCACUCCUACCUGGAAAAGAACUUGCACUGCGUUUUGUAGCUGGAUCAAAGUAAAGUUGAAAGGAUGAAAUAACACCUGAAAUAAUAGCAUGAAGUAUUGCAGGACAAAGAAAACAAGUGGUAGCUCUGAGAGUGCUGGGUUUGGGGUGAGAACAGAAGAGAGAGAGAGGAAGACUUGUUUUUAUGAAUAAUUUCAAGAACUAUCAAUUUUAACUCCUCAAUACACAACCACAGUGCUUCCAGUACAUUCACAAUGAUGUUGUCUCACUGUCCAGCAUCAAAAUCUUCUAAACAACUCAUGAAUAUAGAGUUCAAUAAAAGUUUAUCCUGGAACAGAAGUUGGUAUCUGACCAAAUGAUGCAAAAUGUCUAAAUUCUACUAGUCUAAGGAAUUUGGAAAGCUAGAAUAAGACAUUACUUAAAAUAAUAGCAGAAAUUAAAAUGCCAGAAGAUGGCUUUGGGGCAAACACAAUGAUAUUUGGGCAAUCUAGACACAACUGGUCUGUCUUGUACAAACUUCCUGAGUAAACUGCAAGUUCACUGCAGUAUAACUGUGUUCCCAAUGGAAAAUGAGGAUAAAAAUUCUUAUUUGUCUAGUCUUAGUUAGAAAUAAAAGAACUGUAAUGAGGACUUGGACAGUAUCUUCUGAAGUCAUUACAUAACAUUUCAGUCCCCACCCCAAGGUAACUGCUAGAGUUGCCAUAUUUUCAUCACAGUUUUAAUCCAGUAUAUCCCAGGCUGGUUAGCCUUAUCUUUUCAUGGAAGAGUGCAGAAGAUGAUUAGCUGAACUCACUUCUACCCAAGGGAUAAGAGUGCUACUGGGAACCACCUUGGCUUGCAAUCCUCAUGAUAAAUUUACAAGUGAAAAAAGGAAUUUUCAACUGUUCAGAUAUUGAAAUAAACAGAAACAGUUUUUAAUAUGAGAUCUAUAUUUUACAAGGAAAAGAUUUUGAAGACUUUUGAGAGCUGCAAUACUGUUUACUUGGACUAAAGUAGAUAUAAUGGUUUUCCCCUUUAACUGAGAAUUGUCAAUGAUUAUAUUUCAGGGAGGUCAAAAGAGACUUUGAAUUUAACCUAAGAAUUUUUCCCCACUUAGAAAUGUUUUAUGAAUCUUCUUCUAAAUAUGAAUCUCUGAGAAGGUGAACAAGGAAAAAACAGACAUUGGCACAGGUUUCAAGUAAACCAGAAACAUACAGAAGCUAAUGAAACAUUAAGUGAAAAUGUACCUGUCUCUGGAUACUUAAGUCCCCAUAUCUUGGUCCUUGGAAGCAAAAUAAAGAUAACAGGAAUAAAUCAACAGUUGUGAGAAGCUGACACAGAGGCAGCAUUUCAUGCAGAUUGGUUCAUCUUCAUGACCUGUUCAGCCAUGAAGAUCUAAUCCCAACAUCUUCUGACCCAUCUCCACAGUUCAUUAUUUCCUAAUCAUUUAUGGCCCUCAUUGAAGAAUGCUCUGAGCUUCUUGGGCUGGAACAAAUCUGUAAAUCAAGGACAAUAGCUUCUUGGCUUUCUUUAGCAGCCUGUCUCUUCUUUAUAAUCUUGUCCAUCUGUCAAAUCUGAAAUUCACUUUGUAUGUGUGUAAAUAUACUGCUAGCAAAAAUUAAGAAACGAGAAAAAAUAUUUCCAGUGCAGAAUAAAUUGUCCAUUGAAUUUCU